CCUGAAAGGGCAGGGUGCCCGCAAGGGAGCGUGGAGACAGGUGGUGCAUGGCUGUCGUCAGCUCGUGUCGUGAGAUGUUGGGUUAAGUCCCGCAACGAGCGCAACCCUCACCCCUAGUUGCCACCGGGUAAAGCCGAGCACUCGAGGGGAACUGCCAGCGUCAAGCUGGAGGAAGGCGGGGAUGACGUCAAGUCAUCAUGCCCCUUACGCCCUGGGCCACACACGUGCUACAAUGGCCAGUACAAAGGGAUGCGAGACCGCAAGGUGGAGCUAAUCCCAGAAAGCUGGUCUAAGUUCGGAUUGCAGUCUGCAGCUCGACUGCAUGAAGUAGGAAUCGCUAGUAAUCGCGCAUCAGCACGGCGCGGUGAAUACGUUCCCGGGCCUUGUACACACCGCCCGUCACACCACGAAAGCUGU
rnacentral:rRNA from 1 species